rnacentral:rRNA from 1 species
AACGAACGCUGGCGGCAUGCCUAACACAUGCAAGUCGAACGAGACCUUCGGGUCUAGUGGCGCACGGGUGCGUAACGCGUGGGAACCUGCCCUUAGGUUCGGAAUAACUCCCCGAAAGGGGUGCUAAUACCGGAUAAUGUCUUCGGACCAAAGGUUUAUCGACUUUGGAGGGGCCUGAGUUGGAUAAGCUAGAUGGUAGGCUAAAAGCGUACCAAGGCGAGGAGCCAUAGCUGGUCUGAGAGGAUGAUCAGCGACACUGGGACUGAGACACGGUCCGGAAUACUACAGGAAGGGGCAGUGGGGAAUAUUGGAAAGUGGGCGGAGUCCUGAAGCAGCAAUGACGCGUGAGUGAUGAAGGUCGUAGGGUUGUAAAGCUCUUUUACACGGGAUGAUAAUGACAGUACCGGGAGAAUAAGCUCCGGCUAACUCCGUG